GUCAGCUAUGUCCCGCUCUUAAAAGUAGUGGCCUUAUGAAGAAGAAGUCCAACAGUGCCUUGUAGUGCAACGUCCCCUCUUCACUAGAAUCUGGUGCUUCAGAGAACACCUGGUGGCUGUAAGGGAAGCCUUGUGGAGUCUAGCCACAAAGAGAGGCUGCUUGAAGGUGGCUGCUGAAGAAUCACCUGGCUUUUCCAGUUGAGCACUGGACAUGUGAGCAAAUAUACCUUCAAAUGACAUGAGUCCCAGCUGUGGCUAGACAGCAACCAAACGAGGAACCCCAAGUGAGGACCACCCCACCCCGAACCAUGAACGGUUAAAAAUGGUUGAAUCAUUCUGCGAAGCCAUAGAAGAAAUGCUAAUGAAAUAUUAAAGAGAGCACUUAGAUUUCAAGAACAAAACAGAGAACAUCUUCCUGAUAAAAGAGAAGAGCAAUUGAACAUGAACAGAGAGGAUGGACUCAAGAAACAGAAGCACCAGAGGCAAAUAAUCACCAAGCUCCCAUCAACACGAGAGAGCGUCACUUGGGAAAUGGAUGUCACAGCUCUGAGCCCGGGAAAGACCUUAGAAACUGCUCUCAUCCUUCAUACCCUCUGAUAAAAAUACACUUUUCCUCCAGAAGGAAGAUAGCUUCUUUCAUGGUUAGUCUUCCCAGUGCCCAUAAACAGCUCACUAGAAUGAACUUUUUAACAGAAUCUGUUUAAACUUUCAGAAAUUUGUAUUUAAAGGCUUGCUCAAUAAUUUGUUGGUUGGAUUAAUUAAGGAUUGUGUGUGGGAGGAAUGAGAUUUUUAAUUUACUUGAGCUCCUAAAUAUAUCUAAAUAUAAUAUAUAGAUAAGAAAAAUAUAUGGGUUUUUAUUAAUAGCUAUUAAGGUCUAUUAGAAUGAGCAUUGUGAUCCCAAGUAUAGCUGCUCAGUAUCUAUUAUGCAUACAAGUCGGCAACUAAAAUUCUUUCUUUGGGUCUUAAAGAUCAUACAGAGAGAAAAGGUUCUCCUUUUAGUAAUUUAGCUUAUACUGGGGCCAGGAGGAAGGAUGCUGGUUGUAGAGAAUGUUUCUUUUCAGACUUUCUUGUUGAACAAACAGUUCAAGAUUUCUAUAUAUUCACGCUGAUGUAUAUGCACAAAUAAGCAGUUGGUAAAAACCUGUAAGUUAGAUCACAUGAGCUCUGGGAUGCCUUCUGGCUUGGAAAUUCUGGGUUUUAAGUGGCUGAUCAGCCAUUUCCCCCAUCUGCUCUUGCAUUGGGCCAUUUUCUCCCAGGAGUCUUCUGGCUGCCAACAGGGAUUUCAUGUUCCAUUCAUGGUUGAGGUCAAGCUUGGUAUAUUACCUUAGUUCUGGCUAACUGAUUUCACAUUACUGGGAAAUACAAUAAGGAGGGAGAACUUCUCAAAAUAUUUUAUACAAGUUUGCUCUAUGGAACUCAUAUGGAAUAUGAUUUUCUUUGGACCAAAUAGCCUACAUUAAAGGGGAUAGUUUUGAAUUUCCACUUCUGUUUCCCUCCUUAAAGAUUUAUUUAUUUAUUUGAGUGAGAGAGAGA